AGAGUGUUUAUUGGUUAUUUUGUGUCAACACAACUUAAUAAAUAUUUAUGUCCGAACAGCUUCGGAGCUGUUUGAAAAAAAUGUGCGUAUAAAUAGAAAGGGAAAACAAUAAUUUUAUUUCAUUCUUAAAUAACCAAAAUUACUUCUUAAUGGCUAUGUAGCUUGUUGGGCACUGCAUGGUUGCUCAAACUUUGUGAUCAGACUUGUUAAAAAUGAUUAAAGAAGAGGAGUUAGGUGACAGAACUUGAACACUCCACGAAGCUCCGGCGCAGUCUCCAUUCCCAAGGGCCUGGCGAGUGGCAGAAUGGCGCGGAAGGCAGGGAGCUUUAAGAUUGAGGAGCAAGGAAGAGAAAAUAAACAAGAACAAGGAAAUAAGUAUGAUACCGACCCUGGGUUUGUAGGCUCUCUGUGCAACAGAAACUGACCAGAGGCACAGCCAAAGUCUGGCAAGGCUUCACUGGGGCUCAUGCUGGAGCACGAGGGGCACAGCACAGGGGGGUCGGCCCUGGAAGAGAGGCGUCCCGAGGGUUUUAUGGGGUGAGGGAGCGGACUGGCAUCCCGAUUCCCCUCUUCUGGAGGUGUUCUGCUUCGCUCUUCCCAGUGGGGUCGGCUUCUCAUGCCCCGUGGGGGCUGUGGUCCCCACCCCCGCCCAGCAGGUCCAACCCGGUGGUGUCGCACACUCCGCUGCCCCAGGAGGGUCCAGUGUGGUCCUCUGAGCCUUUGUGCACGUGUGGGGGUGGGUCGCCUGCCUGGGGGCGGUUUUGUGGUUGGAAGGUUGCUUAUCUUGACUUAGAAAGUAGCUGGGCUGAGAGGUGCCAGACCUGGUGGCUACGGGUGAAGGGCAGAGGCCAUCCCUAUUCUGUCUCAAGUAUAGAGCCCAGAGUGGGCCUGGCCUUGGGGACCGGCUGACUAGAUAUCCUGCGUUUGUGGUCAAGCAGAGCAUCUGCAGGGACACGAAAAUCAUCCAGAUUUUGUUUGGCUGACUUGGCUUCCCGCCCCCCACCAUGGGCAGGAGCGGCUCCAUCUCGGGCCUGGACGGUUAUUUCAGCAGACUGGACUGACAAAUAGAAAUGGCAAGCAAUAGGAUAUAUUGGAGUCUAUGAGGAAGCCAUUUGGUAUAAACCUAAUUCGGUCAGACUUUGUUUUUCCAAAAGGGCCUGACAUGGCCUUUGAGCAUGCAUCGUAUAUCUGCUUUAAACAUUUCCCAUGGCAAGAACAAAUGGCCUUAAGAUAAAGGUGCAACUUCCCCCGACAUUGACAUUUCCUUAAGGACAAGCAUCUCUCCCUAGACUAGGAAUGGAUGGCUGCGCUCACCUUUGACCACCCAGCUGGAGACAACAGACCUGCCACCCUGCUGUGUCCAUCGAGACGGCAGACCUACCUGCUGUGUCCAUCAAUCCCUGUGCCGACAGCAGUCUCGCAACUAUUGUAAAAGGGACAUUUCAAUCCUAUGUGAAACAUCCUCUUUGGGGGUAUAUAACCACUCUAUACACCCCACUUCUUUGGUGCCCUUUCUUCCUUUGGGAAAAAAGGCCCCAGGCCAUGAUCCUCACAUUUUAGCUCAGAAUAAACUCAUCCCAAAUUUUCAUUUAUAGAUUGGUUAUGGAUGAUUUUUGUCGACAUUUCUUGGUGUAGUCAUGGCAAGAUUUCAGAGAAAGCCACGGGAGACCACCUGGAAUCUACACUGAGCCGGCAUUCAGUACCAAUAGGGGCCCAUUGAGCCCCCCGGAUUACUGCAUUCUUCAGGUGACCCUGAGCAGCUGUGCCGACACUUCAAGCAGCUGGCGCUCAUGUCAGCCGUCGACUCAAGGUGGAUAAUUUCACAAGCUAAGUUCAACGCUCCAGGCUGGCUCAGGAGCCCUGGCAACAAGGCAAGCGCACUUGAAGACAGCCUGCCGGUGAGCAGAACCAGCCCUCAGCCUACGGAGCAGGAAGUUUCCCUUUUGAUAAAUUAAAGGAAAAAAGGCAAGGUGUCAUAUUUUAAAUGACUAAGUAGCUAUUUCACGCUGCAGCCAAAGCACUGUCUGGCAGACUGCAUGGUCGCCGUCAUGGUUUUGUUUAAUGAUGUUUGGAAAGUUGGCCAUCUCCAAUGUGAAAUAGUCAACUCGUUCGCACCAUCAUCAGGACAUGCAUUAGCGCCGUGGCAUGUGGGAGCUGAAUGUGGGGCCGUGACACAAAAAAGAAGCAUCCUUUGAGUAUCUCCCCGGACCCCAGGCAAGCCUCCAGAUUUCAGGAACCAGGAGUGACUACAUAAGUGGGAUUAUUGAAGGUGUGGAAGUCAAAACAUCUGCCCCAAAUGGUCUCCUUUCGCUUUAGGGGCUGUCGAUCUCCAAAGCCAAGCCGAGGAAUGGAGUUUUACAAAGGCACCGGAGAGGACUUGCUCGCCCUUAACCACGUCAGUAGACAAGCCCAGCAAAGGCACUGGAGGGAUCCCAACCACAGUGCCAGCUGAGCUCAGGCACGUUCAGGGUGCUGUGGCCCUCCACUCACAGCUACUGUCCCUGGAUGAGGGGGUCCCUGUACUGCCAGAUGUUGCUGAUGAGGACACGCCUGCUCCCUUACAGAAAAGAGCUGUGCCAGGGCAGGGCGCCAUCUCACUUCUGUGCCUCCAGCACAGAAGGCAUUUGAUCCAUGUGGCGAGAUGAAUGCAUCACCGCCCAUCCAGGAAUGUAUGAAAGAAAGAACGUCAUGCCACUAAUUUCUUUAUUUUAUCUCAAAUUCCCAAGGACAGGGUGAGCCGCUGUGCUGGGCCUGGGGGUCGAACUGAGAAAAAGAAGAAGUCUGAGAGUUGCCGUUGCGGGAAGGGUCCAGGCCACCAGGUGCUCAAAAGAGGAAACAGCCAAAGGCGAUCACAAUGCGAGAAGUGUAUCUGGGGCACAGGUAGCAGUUCCCAUCUUGGGGAUCAGGGACAGCUCCCUGGAGGAAGGGUGACUAGCCUAGGAUUUGGAGGGUGAAAUAAAUUUGUUGUCACUUGCAAAUUUUUAGACUCAUCCUCAUUCAAGAUGGUAGUCGAGACCACAGGCAUUUCAGUGAUGCUUCGUGAGAAAACUGGCCCUGAGCUAAUAUCCAUGACCUUCUUUCUCUGCUUUAUACGUGGGAUGCCUACCACAGCAUGGCUUUGGCUUAGUGGUGCCAUGUCCGUACCCAGGAUUGGAACUGGGGAACCCCAGGCUGCCGAGGAGCUGGACGUGUGAACUUAACCGCUGC
ensembl:lncRNA